UAGGGGACAAUUUCCUGGUGCAAGUGCUGGAGGAACCAACUAGGGACAGAGCUUUUCUUGACCUGCUGCUCACAAACAGGGAAGAAUUAGUUGGGGAAGCAAAAGUGGAUGGGAACCUGGGAGGCAGUGACCAUGAGAUGGUCGAGUUCAGGAUCCUGACACAAGGAAGAAAGAUGAGCAGCAGAAUACGGACCCUGGACUUCAGAAAAGCAGACUUUGACUCCCUCAGGGAACAGAUGGGCAGGAUCCCCUGGCAGAGUAAGAUGAAGGGCAAAGGGGUCCAGGAGAGCUGGCUGUAUUUUAAAGAAUCCUUAAUGCGGUUGCAGGAACAAACCAUCCCGAUGUGUAGAAAGAAUAGUAAAUAUGGCAGGCGACCAGCUUGGCUAAACAGUGAAAUCCUUGCUGAUCUUAAAAGCGAAAAAGAAGCUUACAAGAAGUGGAAGAUUGGACAAAUGACUAGGGAGCAGUAUAAAAAUAUUGCUCAGGCAUGCAGGAGUGAAAUCAGGAAGGCCAAAUCACACUUGGAGUUGCAGCUAGCAAGAGAUGUUAAGAGUAACAAGAAGGGUUUCUUCAGGUAUGUUAGCAACAAGAAGAAAGUCAAGGAAAGUGUGGGCCCCUUACUGAAUGAGGGAAGCAACCUAGUGACCAAGUAUGUGGAAAAAGCUAAUGUACUCAACGAUUAUUUUGCCUCUGUCUUCACGAACAAGGUAAGCUCCCAGACUGCCGCACUGGGCAGCACAGUAUGGGGAGAAGGUGACCAGCCCUCUGUGGAGAAAGAAGUGGUUCAGGACUAUUUAGAAAAACUGGACGUGCACAAGUCCAUGGGGCCGGAUGCGCUGCACCCGAGGGUGCGAAAGGAGUUGGCGGAUGAGAUUGCAGAGCCAUUGGCCAUUAUUUUUGAAAACUCAUGGCAAUCAGGGGAGGUCCCAGAUGACUGGAAAAAGGCUAAUGUAGUGCCCAUCUUUAAAAAAGGGAAGAAGGAGGAUCCGGGGAACUACAGGCCAGUCAGCCUCACCUCAGUCCCUGGAAAAAUCAUGGAGCAGUUCCUCAAGGAAUCAAUUCUGAAACACUUAGAGGAGAGGAAAGUGUUCAGGAACAGUCAGCGUGGAUUCACCAAGGGGAAGUCGUGCCUGACUAACCUAAUUGCCUUCUAGGAUGAGAUAACUGGGUAUGUGGAUGAGGGAAAAGCAGUGGAUGUGUUAUUCCUUGACUUUAGCAAAGCUUUUGAUAUGGUCUCCCACAAUAUUCUUGCCGCCAAGUUAAAGAAGUAUGGUCUGGAUGAAUGGACUGUAAGGUGGAUAGAAAGCUGGCUAGAUCGUCGGGCUCAACGGGUAGUGAUCAAUGGCUCCAUGUCUAGUUGGCAGCCAGUUUCAAGAGAAGUGCCCCAA
rnacentral:lncRNA from 1 species